rnacentral:misc_RNA from 1 species
CUUAUCAUUUAGAGGAAGGAGAAGUCAUAAUAAGGUUUCUGUAGGUGAACCGACAAAAGGAUCAUUGUCGAUUCUGCACCAAAAGAGCGACUCACGAACCAGUUGGAAAGGACCUCCAUAGGGAGAGGGCCCGGGUGCGCCCGUGGCCUCCCCCGACAACUAAACCCCCAUGCCAAAGGCACCAUCCGUGCCAGUGGCCGCUCAUGCCUGUGAAGCUACCGUUUGCACAUCUGAAACAAUCUCGGCAAUGAAUAUCAUGGCUCUUAUAUUGAUGAAGAAUGUAGUGAAAUGCGAUACUUGGGGUGAAUUGUAGAAUCUCGUGAACCAUCGAGUCUUUGAUCGCAAGUUACGCCCGAAGCCUUCAGGCUGAGGGCAUGUCUGCCUAGGUGUCACACAGUGUCGCCACCGCCCAAUCACUUGGGCUUGGCGGAUGAUGGCCUCCUAGGAGCCCAACGUGACAGCCAGGUCAUGCAUGCUCGAGCCACAGUGGUUGAGUGAGUACUCGCUCGAGCCAGGUCAUGCACGCCGUGCCACGGCAGUGGCCCGCCAUCAAGGCCACUCUAGAUGCCUUUGGCCCAUAGCCCGACACUCGUAUGCAACCCCAGGUCAGUCGGGGCUACCCGCUGAGUUUAAGCAUAUCAA